AUGGUGCUAUCGAAAACAAUACUCCUUUACACAACAGAUAAAGAAAGGAGGAAGGGUUAUGGGGUACGUCUUGUCAGCCAGGUCUGUCACAGUUCCUACUUCUUUAGGGGACUAGGACUAGGUCAUGUAGUCAUGCUGACUGACUCAAGUUUAAAACAGCCCUUUCAGGGAAUGACAUACCGCCUCCCAGGUUACCAAGGUGCCCUACCAGGUUACCAAGGUGCCCUACCGCCUGCCAGGUUACCAAGGUGCCCUACCGCCUCCCAGGUUACCACGGUGCCCUACCGCCUGCCAGGUUACCACGGUGCCCUACCGCCUCCCAGGUUACCACGGUGCCCUACCGCCUCCCAGGUUACCACGGUGCCCUACCGCCUCCCAGGUUACCACGGUGCCCUACCGCCUCCCAGGUUCCCACGGUGCCCUACCGCCUCCCAGGUUACCACGGUGCCCUACCGCCUGCCAGGGUACCACGGUGCCCUACCGCCUCCCAGGUUACCACGGUGCCCUACCGCCUCCCAGGUUACCACGGUGCCCUACCGCCUCCCAGGUUACCACCGUGCCCUACCGCCUGCCAGGUUACCACGGUGCCCUACCGCCUCCCAGGUUACCACGGUGCCCUACCGCCUCCCAGGUUACCACGGUGCCCUACCGCCUCCCAGGUUACCACGGUGCCCUACCGCCUCCCAGGUUACCACGGUGCCCUACCGCCUCCCAGGUUCCCACGGUGCCCUACCGCCUCCCAGGGUACCACGGUGCCCUACCGCCUGCCAGGGUACCACGGUGCCCUACCGCCUCCCAGGUUACCACGGUGCCCUACCGCCUCCCAGGUUACCACGGUGCCCUACCGCCUCCCAUGUUACCACCGUGCCCUACCGCCUGCCAGGUUACCACGGUGCCCUACCGCCUGCCAGGUUACCACGGUGCCCUACCGCCUCCCAGGUUACCACGGUGCCCUACCGCCUCCCAGGUUACCACGGUGCCCUACCGCCUCCCAGGUUACCACGGUGCCCUACCGCCUCCCAGGUUACCACGGUGC
rnacentral:lncRNA from 1 species